CCUACGGGUGGCUGCAGUGAGGAAUAUUGGUCAAUGGGCGGGAGCCUGAACCAGCCAAGCCGCGUGAGGGAAGAAGGUACAGCGUAUCGUAAACCUCUUUUGUCAGGGAACAAAGGCGGGGACUAGUCCCCGGAUGAGGGUACCUGAAGAAAAAGCAUCGGCUAACUCCGUGCCAGCAGCCGCGGUAAUACGGAGGAUGCGAGCGUUAUCCGGAUUUAUUGGGUUUAAAGGGUGCGUAGGCGGUAGGAUAAGUUAGAGGUGAAAUGUCGGGGCUCAACCCCGAAACUGCCUCUAAUACUGUUGUACUAGAGAAUGGUAGCAGUAGGCGGAAUGUGUGGUGUAGCGGUGAAAUGCUUAGAGAUCAUACAGAACACCGAUUGCGAAGGCAGUUUACCAAACUAUAUCUGACGUUGAGGCACGAAAGCGUGGGUAGCGAACAGGAUUAGAUACCCGUGUAGUC
rnacentral:rRNA from 1 species